GGGUCCUUAGCUCAGUUGGGAGAGCGUCGGUAUGACAUGCCGAAGGUCGCAGGUUCGAACCCUGCAGGACCCACCA
rnacentral:tRNA from 1 species